rnacentral:tRNA from 1 species
GUGACAGUAGUUCAGUGGUAGGGCUCCCGAUUCAUACGCGGGAAGACCUGGGUUCGAUUCCCGGCUGUUUUC